rnacentral:lncRNA from 1 species
GCGCCCCUGCCUAGUUGAGACACGUGGGGUUUCCAGAAGCCUCAGUGACAAGGACACGGAAAUACACUGGGAUGGAGGAAGAGAAUACUGAGAAAACCCAGGGAUGGUCUCUGCAGACUCACCCUGGACACAGCGACCCUCACCCGCCAGGGAAUGCGGGUGAUCGGAAGAGCAUCGUGCCACCCCGACUCGGGGCCUGCUCCCCCCGCCCCAGGGCUCACCAGGUCACCAGCUGCCUCGCCCACGCUCCACGCUCCCGGGUCUGGGCUCCCGACCCGAGGCCACCCUCCACACAGCACCUUGCUACCUGCCCCUUCAGAACCGUGUGCCACUCAAACUGCUCACCAGUUUCAGGGCGAGCUCCAAACUCUUCUAAGUGGACUCAAGGCUGUUCGUCAUGCCGCAGAGGAGGCCCCCCAGCCUCAGCUCUCACUUCUGUUUUGCUCCAAACGCGAAGGCUGCAGUCACACCACAAACACACACACACACACACACUCAG